GACCACUCCGAAAACGGAGUCGAGGCCAUACGGACAGCCGGGUCCACUGCCGA
rnacentral:sRNA from 1 species